ACGGAGGGUGCAAGCGUUACUCGGAAUUACUGGGCGUAAAGGGUCCGUAGGCGGCUUGGAAAGUUGGAUGUGAAAUCCCACAGCUUAACUGUGGAACUGCGUCCAAAACUAUCAAGCUUGAGGAUGGUAGGGGACAGUGGAACUCAAGGUGGAGCGGUGAAAUGCGUAGAGAUCUUGAGGAACACCGGUGGCGAAAGCGACUGUCUGGGCCAUUCCUGACGCUGAGGGACGAAAGCUAGGGGAGCAAACGGG
rnacentral:rRNA from 1 species